UGAACCAGAAGAUCAUGCUGGAACAGGAGCGCCUCAGGGUGGAACACGACAAACUCAAGUCCACUGACCAGGAGAAGAGCCGGAAGCUGCACGAGCUCACGGUGAUGCAGGACAGGAGAGAGCAGGCCAGACAGGACCUGAAGGGACUGGAGGAGACUGUGGCCAAGGAGCUCCAGACCCUGCACAACCUGAGGAAGCUGUUUGUU